AAUACCUCUCCCAUUAGCCCACAGCCUCCCUUCCUAAGACACACUCUCUCUGGAAAGUUAUCUCCUCACAGCCAGGGACAUCGAGGCAGAGAACCCAGAGCUCUGCCCAUUUCCAAGCAUAACCAGUGCUCUAUGGUACACACACUGAACCUUGGCUCAAGGCUGGUGUUUCGCUAGCCUCUUUUCAGUAAGUCAGUCUGUCUUCAGGUUAGUGGGAGAAAGUAGGAGGGUAACAGUGUGAGUGCAAGGAGGGCUUGUUGCCACGUUCAGUGGGUGUGUUUCUAGUUAGACACGAAUCCCAGCCAAAGCCGUCCAACUGAAGCCACCCACCACUGUUCAAGCUGCCAACCUAAAGAACGCAGCAAGGACAACGCUGCCUCUGGUCUUCUUGCCCUGGAAUGGUUUCCGGUCCUGCUGGCUCUUCCCCCAGAAUCCCUGUUACUGCCUUGUAGAAUCCUUGGGCCUCCAGAAAUAUCACACUGGGAACCCCAUUCAGAUUUAUGGACAUGUUUUCCUGUCUCUUUUGUAACUGCUGCUAUCUAACUGUGGGCUGCUAACAUGCCUCCGUGGGAUCAAGUGGUGACAGGGGUGUUGACUUCGAAGGAUUGCUAGGAUUAGUCGGCAGGACCAUUGAUGACUGCUAAGGAGACACGUGGGAGGGUCCUCCGACAGCACCUUGCUCUCCAAGUGAAAAAUAAAAUGGUGUGUGGCUCCUCCUCCAAGAGAAGUGAUGGGUGUCUGCUCUAGAAGACUGGGGCUCCUUCUACUUGUUGGUUCCUUGACCACCGCUCCACAGAAGCUGCAGGAAGGAGAAAGGGCAGCUUCUGAUUUCAUAAGCAUCACGGUUGGUUCAUGCCUCCAAAUAUGUUCUCCUUAUGCUGUCUGGCUGUCACAAGCCCCAGGCUUUCGCUGCAGCACCCAUUUGAGUCUUUGACUUAAUCAUCCAUCUUCACCUUGGGGGAAGAAUUAGUGUGGUGAGGACUGAAGAUCCUUGCCAAAGUGGCCUGGGCCAUUGCUGACCUGCUGUGGUCGACCUAAUCUUGCUCCCUCAGCUUCUGGGAUGACAUCCAUGUGGACUUCUAUGCUUCUCUUUCAAAACUCCUUGUGUUUUUCUUGACAUUAGUCAACAGCGGUGAUGGAAUAUACCCCGUUAAAGCCUUGUCCCGACACCAUGUGACAGGUGAAGAAGCUGAAGUAUGCUCUGUAAGUAUAUUCAUGUAUGUAUGUUUAACCAGUUGACAGUGACAGCACAGCCAGAGCCACCAAUUCACACUGACAGGCAUGCAUGCAUGCAUACUAUUGCGAAUCAUGCUUCGUAUGACUCAAGACUAAAAGAUUGAAAUGCCCACUUCACCCGAAUCCAUGCUAUACCAACUGGUUGCCAGCAACCAGACCAAGUGUAGGAGCCCGCUCUUACAAAGUCAGCGAGGGUUGACUCGCUCGGGAUCCUCGAAGCCAAAGGCAAGUCAGGUGAAAGAAGCUGAGACAGAAGACAGGAUAGAAUCCGGAGGUCUGCCCGGCGGCCGACUGGUCAAACCAAGCAGCCACACAGUCCAGAGUUUAUUUCGGAACUUACAUAUAUACAAAAGCAGGAUAAAGUAUGGCACAGACGGUCAAUCAGUAUCUAGCCACGAGACCAUCCCUGUCCUUGAGCGAGCAGCCUCCUCUCCAACAUGUGCUUGCUGCUCGGAAGCAGCCUCACUUUCUAUCUUGAUGUUCCUGAGGUUUGUCGUCAGCAGUAUACAGUCUACUAGAUAGAGUGUUCUUUUCUCACGGGCUAAAUCAGAAGUCUCUCACAGUCCUCAAGGUUAUAGGAAAAAACAAAGCAGGCAAACUUGAACUCAAAAGACUUAUAAGUCAGAAUGGACUCCAGAUGGAAACUGAGUCACACAUGGGCACCCACAACCACGAGCCUCAUUCCUGCAAGGUUUGCCUGGUAGAGGUGACAUCAUGCUGGGGUUCUGAUAUUUUGACCCUGCUGCAGAAUUGGGCAUCCAUCAAGGAGUAAUCCGGGUCUUAAAAAUAUGAAGCGUUGCCUUUUCUUUUUAGUUCUGCAUUUUCUGAGCUUUCAUAAAGGCCCUGUGCUGCUUUUGAUUCCGUUCGCUGUUCCCAAUAUUUCUCCCUACGUUUGCUCUCUCUCUUCUUGCCUUAGAAAUCCUGCUGCCCUAAGAAAUGUAACAGAAUUAAGGACAAAACGGCAAGAUGGCUCUGUUGGAAAAGUGCUUGCUGCCAAGUCUGAGGGCCUGAGUUCAAAUCCCCAGAACCCAUGUAAAUAGUCAGAUGUGGUGGCAAACAUUUAUGAUCCUAACAACAACAAGAUGGGAGGAGGAGACACACAGAUCCCUGCUAAGAUUGCUGGCUAGCUCUUCUAAUUUACUUGGUGAAGUUCCAGGCCUGUGAGAAACACUGUCUCAAAGAAAAUGGGAAGCACCUGAAGAAUGAAACCCAAGAUUGUCCUCUGAUCCCCACAUGUGUGUAUGUACACUGCACACACACGCACACAGGCACGCACAUGCACACAUGUAUGCACACACACACUUGUGCUCACACAUGAAAAUGUGCAUACACAGACGUGCAAAUGUACGCACACACAUUUCAAAAUGAAAUUUGAGUUAAUAUAGGAAAAUAAAACCCAUCAAAUAUCCUGACAUCUCAUAUGCUAAGCAUUAGAGAGCUCACUUUGCUCACUGCUACAAGGAGAUACGCUAGAGCGGUGCACACCUUACCCUCCCAUGCUGUGUUCAAAGCACUUACUCACAACAAUACAGUAUUUCUUGUGUGAUAUGCUGCUGUUCUUAAAUGCAUGAGAACUGAGGAUCUCCUGGCCGGACACCUGGAAAGAACCGUUUGUGCCUGACUUUUCUGGGUUACAAUCUCUCCCUUUUAAUCUUCAUGGACUGGGAAAGCCCAAUGGUGGACAUUGGAACUGUUCUUUAUAAGUCCAAUGUUGUGGAUGAAGCCUCAUUGUGAGAGGAUGUUGGUGGGAGAUCUGGAAACUGACGGGUGGGGUGGGGCUCUCAUCUGCAGUGAGCCUUCUGCGCAGCGCACAUUGCUUUGUGCUUCCUUGUUGGUCCUCCCGCAUAAGAGAGUGAAUUUCUGCUCCUUCCUCGCCACCAUUUCCUUGCUUUCUCUUUCUUCCCUUUCAUCCAUGAGACUAUAUUCAUAGGAUGGAAGAGGAGGCC